AUGCCAAUAUAUGUACAGCAGGAUAAUGCAAAGACCCACAUCCCUUUAGAUGAUCCGGAGUUUGUCGCCGCGGCUCAAGCUGAAGGAUGGGACAUCCGUCUCACAUGCCAACCUCCAAACUCCCCUGACCUAAAUAUUCUAGAUUUAGGUUUUUUUGCAGCGCUCCAGGCUCUUUUUCAGAAGUUGUCUCCAGGUUCUAUUGAGGGCAUUGUGUUGAAGGUGCAGCAGGCAUUCGAUGAGUAUCCAGCUGAGAGAAGCAACAGAAUUUUCCUCACUCUCCAAUCCUGCAUGAUAGAAGUCUUGAAGCAAUUUGGAGGAAACCGCUACAAAGUUCCGCACAUGCGCAAGGCUGUGAGAGAGAGGCUCGGCGAUCUCCCAGUGGCACUACAAUGUGCUGCAAACAUUGUUAAUGAUGCCAUUGAAUCCCUACCUGAUGUUUAG
rnacentral:rRNA from 1 species